rnacentral:rRNA from 1 species
CAGCCGCCGCGGGAAUACGUAGGGUGCGAGCGUUAAUCGGAAUUACUGGGCGUAAAGCGGGCGCAGACGGUUACUUAAGCAGGAUGUGAAAUCCCCGGGCUCAACCUGGGAACUGCGUUCUGAACUGGGUGACUAGAGUGUGUCAGAGGGAGGUAGAAUUCCACGUGUAGCAGUGAAAUGCGUAGAGAUGUGGAGGAAUACCGAUGGCGAAGGCAGCCUCCUGGGAUAACACUGACGUUCAUGCCCGAAAGCGUGGGUAGCAAACAGGAUUAGAUACCCCCGUAGUCCCUGUCUCUAUACA